rnacentral:lncRNA from 1 species
GGAGUUGGGGAUCCCCUUGGCUUUUCGUCACCCCCUCCGUGCGGCCAAGCGUGAGUUUCGUGAUAGUUGAGUCGUUGCUUCAAGUAUUUUUGCUUGCUUGACACUAACCCUGGUUAGUGUUUGUGCUUGUUUUUCAGUGGCCUUCUCCCGAGAGAAGGCGGACGAGUGGGCUUCCCAGAUGGUUGGGCCGUACAACUCGGUGGAGCAUCGGGCCUACGUCGAUACCAUCUACGAGGGAGGAUGCCACAACGUCGUGGUGGCGUGCUUCGACGACUCGGCACCGAUGCGCCCGGAUCCCAAGUUCAGGAAGCUCAUCAAGGCCGGCGAGCG